UGUGCAUUCAUUUGAUGUGAUCCAAGUAUAUCAGAAAUAUACGCUUUUUUUGUAUCUUUUAUUCAAGAAAUCUUAUGGAGCUUCCAAGAAUAUUAAGAGGGAAGGAAAUGGUAUUCUCAAACUGGAGAUCUGGCACGAUUGAUUGCAACAAAGUGAACACCACUAAAAGUACCAAAGGUGCCAUCAGAUGGGGGUGUUGAACAAGGAAACAGGUUAUGUUUAUAAGAAAUGAACAGCUUACAGAAUGGCUGGGUGUGUUUAAGGUUGUUGUUAUGAAUUAUGAUUCAUCUGAGCUGAAAAACCCACUCCCCAGACCAUGAACUAUUUCUGCCUUUCUUUACAGUGCUCUGCAGACAGCUGAGAUUCUAUUUCUCAUUAGGAUGUUUCACACACAUUUUGCAAAUCCAAACCAGCAAAACUCGGAUUAGGCCAUUCACCCCACAAGAAUCCACUCUGUAAGGGCCAAUCUAUUUGAGCCCUGAUGAAUUCAAAGCAUGCUUUACAGUUUUCCUCAGAUAUUAUUGGCACUCUGCUUGUGACACAUUCCAAUUAAUCCAGACUACUUGGUUCAUUUGCAGACAGUUCUCAUUGAUUGCUUUAAUGCUGUGCAAGUCUUCAUUCUACUUGAUAUCAACUGCAGACAUAUUCAGUAGUUGACUUCUAACAUUCUGUGAAUAAAUAUCUCUGCUGUUGAGGAUGUUUUUAAUGGUCUAAUACAUCCAGGAGAAUCAUAAUGACAGUGUCUCUGUAGGUGAUACAGCUUUCACACCUGACAACACCUGAGAUACAAAGUAAUGCUCUGUAAUAAACAGUGUUCUUGUGUAGUAUAAUACUGUAACAAUGUAUGAUGGUUUCAUCAUGAAUUUUAAUUAAAGUUUGCAACUCUUUACUUGUGGUUCUAAAUUAAUGGAAUUGUGAAAUUUAAAACCAUGGAAGACUUUUGAAAAAAUUAUUCAAAUUAAAUAUUAUUCAAAUAAAUUUUUAUAAUUUGUUUUAAGUGCUGAUAAAUUUCUUCAUAUUAUCAAUAUGUAUUGAUUAUACUAUUUGAAAACAAUAAAAAAUUCAAAAAUCUACUUAAUGGUUCUAAAUUCAUAGCAGCCAGUAUGACGGUGUGUGUCUUUCAGCUUUUAUGUGUGGCCAUGAAGGUCAAACAAAUCAACACUGGUACUUAUUUUAUUGGUCCUUAUUCUAUAGGUUUGUUUUACUGAACCAUUAAGUUACAGGGACAUAAACAAACCAACACACAUAUGUACAUACAAUGGGCCGCUUCCUGUUUCUAUCUGCCAAAUCCAUUCACAAGGCUAUAGGAGAUUCUUGCCCAGGUGUUGCACAGUAGAGCUGAACCCCAGACCACAUGAUUGGGAAACCAGCUUCUUAACUACAUGGCAACACGUGUGUGUGUGUGUAUAUAUGUAUAUAUAUAUACAUACUCUUUUACUUGUUUCAGUCAUUUGACUGUGGCCAUGCUGGAGCACCGCCUUUAGUCAAGCAAAUCGACC
rnacentral:lncRNA from 1 species